GCCAGUUUGGCUCAGUGGAUAGAGCAUUGGCCUUUGAAGUGAAGGAUCCUGGUUUGAUUCCAGUGAAGGGCA
rfam:Myotis davidii contig56291, whole genome shotgun sequence.